AGUUACUAUGUUAUACACCUGAAACCAAUAUAAUCUUGUAUGCCAACUAUACUUCAAUUUACAAAAAUGUUACUGCUAGUAAUGGUAGCAGUAUCCCAGUCCACAACACCACACGUUUGAAAGUCUCAUCUAAUUUGUAUUUGUUUUUGUUAGACUGUACACUUGUAAAGUAGGGACUGUAUCUAUUUAUCUCUAUAUCCCCAGAAUCUACCCUGAGGCCAUGCCCAUAAUAGCCACUAAUUAAGCAACUGUCCUUUCAGGCACUAGAGAAGAGACCACCAAAAUCCUCUGCCUAGCCUCCCUCAUUCCCCUAUAGAUUAUAUCCUCAGUUCCUAUAAUUCUUUGGCUUCCUUUGGCUCCCUUUCUUGUUUCCACCUCCUCCCUUCCUCUGCUCCAGGGAUGUUCAUUCACUAAUGGUGAUCUCUGGUCUCAUCCCUGGCAGGUGUUCCAAUGCUUCCUUUUGCUCUCUACCCACAGCUAUAUUAUCUAACCAGCCUCUGCAUCACUUAUUCUGCAAUUAAUAGAAGGGUGAACGGAGGCUGUAUUUCUCGACCAUUGGUCUCAUACCUAUUUGUGAGAAGGAGAAUUCUCUGGAAAAGAGAAAAGCAGAGCAGAAACUCAAAGAGGAAGAGAAUAUGAAAAUCCUCAGAGCUGAGAAGAUACAAGAUCACAGGCAGCUACAGACUCGAAAAUAAGAAUAAGGACCAAGGAACAGUUUGACAUGACCAGGAGAGUGAGGAAAAACGAAAGAGCAGGGAGAAGACAGGAGUGUAUAUGGUGGCAGAGAUGAUGGAGAUGAACAAAGAAGAGCCAGAGACAGAUGUCAUACAAAAGGAACGGUACUAUUUGAGGGCCUGGGAGUUUAACACGUCAUCCCUGCCUACAAGAUGCUUCCCGUACAUUCACCAGUCUCAAGAGAGCAUGGUAAGUGGUACAAAAGGGGUAAGUGCUGGGGACGUUAGGGGCAUAAUCCCAGGUUGGUGUGUUAAUGUAGUAGAUUACAGAAGUAAGGUAUAAACCAAAGCCUGAAAGCUAACUAAAACUGAUACGAAAAUAAAGAGGCGUGACAGGAGUGUUCUAGGCAGAGAAUAAGCACAAAGGCCCAAACUCCUAGAAAGCAGGGAAUUUCAGGAAUUAAAGUAGUUUGGUGUGGCUGAGGCAUAAUGUGCAAGAACUGGGGAGGGGUGGAGGGCAGGACUGGGACAGUGGAAGCUGAAGAAUACUGAGGUCUUUUACAUUUGUAACGUGACAAAAAACUGGGGAGCCUUGCUGAACAGAUCAAAUUGCAGCCUGAGGGCUGCUUUAGAGAAGGAUGGAAGGAAUUUAAUUAUGGAAAAAGAUGAUCAGAACUUUGUUGGGCAAGGGCCACUUCGGCUGCACUGUGGAUGGCAAAUGGGAGGGGGCACGGAAUUAAUAGGCUGGAGCAAGGAAGGGGGUCAGAGAGAAGAUGUAGCAGGAAUCCAGAGGAGAUGAUGGUGGCCUGAGUUAGUAGCAUGAAUCAGGUUGGAGAAGAGGGGACAGGUUAGAGAGUUACAUAGGAGUUGGCAUUGUCAUGACCCCAGACUGACCAGAUGAGGGAAUGCCAAAGGGAAGGAGAACGGUGGCAGGUUUGUGGCACAGAUCACUGUGGGCUACCAGCCCACAUAUAUUAUUAUAAUAAGAAUUAUAAUAAUAACUAUUAUUAUUUUUAAAGAACCAGGUUUGGAGGUAAGGUAAGUUCAGUAUGGGACAUGUUGCACAUUCAAAAGCAGAUACCCAACAGACAGUAGAGAUCUACAACUCAAGAGUGAUGGAUUAUAACUGAAGUCACAGACAGGAAGGCAUAGAACAGGUCAGAACUCUAGAGACCAGUGACAUUUAUGGCAUGAACAGAUCAGAAGAGGUGGCAAAGAGAACUGAAGAGGAAUGGUCAGAUUGGUGGGGAACCAACAGAGUGAGGGCCAUGGCAGCAGUUUGAGUGAAGUAGUGGCCAAGAGUGGCACCUGCUCUGUGACAUUAGGUAAAACAAAGGU